AUGUCCAGAUAUACCACAUGGAUUCACCAUGGAGAAAGUAUGCGGCCCUCCGAAGCAACUACUGGUCCUAGUUCACAGUUUGAAGAAUAUGCUGAUAGUGAUGAGAUGGAUGAGAUGCUACUAGAAGGAUUUGGAAUGUACGAUACUCGUACUUUAGGAGAGGAGCAAGAGUCUGAAGAUGAUUUGGACGAUGAUGCUAAGGCAUACUAUAGAUUAGUUAAUGAUGGACGCCAAGAGUUGUACCCGGGUUGCAAAAGAUUCUCGAAGCUGCAAUUUUUGGUGAGGUUGCUUCAUAUCAAGAAUAUGAGGGGAAUGAGCAAUGUCUGCUUUGAUGAGGUAUUGACGCUAAUUAAGGAGGCACUUCCAGAAGGUCAGGCGUUGCCCAAAAAUUUUCAUGGGGCCAAAAAGUUUGUGAGAGCCAUCGGUAUUGGAUAUGAUAGUAUAGAUGCAUGA
rnacentral:rRNA from 1 species